rnacentral:rRNA from 1 species
GACAGCAGUCGCCGCGGUAAUACAGAGGGUGCGAGCGUUAAUCGGAUUUACUGGGCGUAAAGCGUGCGUAGGCGGCUUCUUAAGUCGGAUGUGAAAUCCCUGAGCUUAACUUAGGAAUUGCAUUCGAUACUGGGAAGCUAGAGUAUGGGAGAGGAUGGUAGAAUUCCAGGUGUAGCGGUGAAAUGCGUAGAGAUCUGGAGGAAUACCGAUGGCGAAGGCAGCCAUCUGGCCUAAUACUGACGCUGAGGUACGAAAGCAUGGGGAGCAAACAGGAUUAGAUACCCGCGUAGUCCCUGUCUCUUAUAC